rnacentral:tRNA from 1 species
GCUCCUAGAGGAUAACAGUCAUCCGUUGGUCUUAGGAACCAAAAACUCUUGAUGCAACUCCAAGUAGCAGCU